AGGACGAACGCUGGCGGCGUGCUUAACACAUGCAAGUCGAGCGGUAAGGCUCCUUCGGGAGUACACGAGCGGCGAACGGGUGAGUAACACGUGAGCAAUCUGCCCUUCACUCUGGGAUAACCCUCGGAAACGAGAGCUAAUACCGGAUACGACCACUUCAGGCAUCUGAUGGUGGUGGAAAGUUCUGGCGGUGAAGGAUGAGCUCGCGGCCUAUCAGCUUGUUGGUGAGGUAAUGGCUCACCAAGGCUUCGACGGGUAGCCGGCCUGAGAGGGUGACCGGGCCACGACUGGGACUGAGACACGGCCCAGACUCCUACGGGAGGCAGCAGUGGGGAAUAUUGGACAAUGGGCGAAAGCCUGAUCCAGCAACGCCGCGUGAGGGAUGACGGCCUUCGGGUUGUAAACCGUCUUUCAGCAGGGACGAAGCGCAAGUGACGGUACCUGCAGAAGAAGCACCGGCCAACUACGUGCCAGCAGCCGCGGUAA
rnacentral:rRNA from 1 species